rnacentral:rRNA from 1 species
UGGGAAUUUUGGACAAUGGGGGCAACCCUGAUCCAGCAAUGCCGCGUGUGUGAAGAAGGCCUUCGGGUUGUAAAGCACUUUUGUCCGGAAAGAAAACGUCGUGGUUAAUACCCGUGGCGGCUGACGGUACCGGAAGAAUAAGCACCGGCUAACUACGUGCCAGCAGCCGCGGUAAUACGUAGGGUGCAAGCGUUAAUCGGAAUUACUGGGCGUAAAGCGUGCGCAGGCGGUCCGCUAAGACAGAUGUGAAAUCCCCGGGCUUAACCUGGGAACUGCAUUUGUGACUGGCGGGCUAGAGUAUGGCAGAGGGGGGUAGAAUUCCACGUGUAGCAGUGAAAUGCGUAGAGAUGUGGAGGAAUACCGAUGGCGAAGGCAGCCCCCUGGGCCAAUACUGACGCUCAUGCACGAAAGCGUGGGGAGCAAACAGGAUUAGAUACCCUGGUAGUCCACGCCCUAAACGAUGUCAACUAGUUGUCGGGUCUUCAUUGACUUGGUAACGUAGCUAACGCGUGAAGUUGACCGCCUGGGGAGUACGGUCGCAAGAUUAAAAACUUAAAUGAAUUGACGGGGUCAUAGCUGUUUCCUG